rnacentral:lncRNA from 1 species
GCGGGCGAGGUGACCUCGGGCGGAUUUGCAAGCCCCACAAGUUUCUCCUUUCUCUGCAAAACUGUCGUGAUUACAAUGUUGCUCCCCUUUUGCAAAAUAAAAGUAGGUUAGUUGGAUUGUUUGUCCUUAGAUUUCUAGGGGUUCAUGAAGGAGGAUGUGUAUUUCUCCCUCCCCCCCGCACUGCACACCCCGCGCCCUGUUACUUUUUUUUUCCGCUUCUCUUUCUGGGGAUGGAAAAACAACUUUGGGGCCCCCUGGGGGGUGCCGGCGUGGAGGUGGAGGUGUCCGCUAGGGCCCAGCUGUCAAAAAGCAGUGGGGCGUGGGGGGCAGAGACGACUGGGCAGGGAAACGCCGAGGAAAGGGCGCGAACUUUAUUCCGACUGCUGCGAACCUCGGCGUCGCUUUUCUUUUCGGGCAGUCGCCGGUCUCGGUCCCUUUUGACCAGUUCCUACUCGCGAGCCGCCGCCGCCGCCGCCGCCGCCGCCCCCUCCUCCUUUCCCCUUCCCCUCCUCCUUCGUGCCCGUCGCGCUGCCCCGCACCCGGAUCAGCCCGGGUCCCUGCUCGCUGUCGGGGAGAAGGGAAGGCAGGCACAGGUUUCGAGCAUAUUCCCUGAACACUUGAAAAUCAGAAUCGGCGGAGGCGAACACUUGGCUUGGCAGGACAGCAGGUCUGGUUACCGGUUUCCACUGAGAAGAGAAAAUCAUCCCUCCUUGCUUUCUCUCUUCCCCGAAGUAGAGGAAGAGACUGCCCAAUUGCACUCAGAGGUCAGAAUCAAAUUCCUCUGGAAAAUAUGCAGCUUUGGAAUUACGUAGUUUUAUUUUCUUUGAUGCACGGUCUGGGCUUAAGUUUAAUAUGAAUUUUCACAAUAAUUAAAAAUUUUUCAGGAGCCGUGACUAACGAGAGACUAUGCGGCCCAAGUAGCCACAGCUGUUCUGAAAAUGUGAUUAGGCUUAUUAUUUACGUAGAUCCAGCUUUUUAACGGGGGCCACCGCACCUGCAAUUCUUUGUACUGAUUGGUUCCAAAAUCUGACUGUUUUAGGCCCUUUCGGAGCAGAUUUGAAGACACUUCUGCUUUUGUGAAUUCUCUACAUCACCUUGUCAUGGAAGGGUUUGUCUGGUGAACACUUCUACAAUGUUACACAGUAAAUAUCUUGGCACAUGGUUCAUCUGGAGGUUUCUGGUGGGAGUCAGGUUACUUCUCUCACUAUAGGAUAAAUCAAAGGAUAGACUAGAUAACUAAUCACUAGCCAUAUAUAUAAAUGCAUGUUAUCUAAGAAGGCUCAUCUUUAAAUGAUUUGAUUAAGGUGUGGAGCAAGUUCUCUUAUUCUGUAAACAUAACUGUAACAUCAUCCUGUAGUUUGUAGAAACUGAUUACACAAGGGAUAAUGAUGACCAAAUGUGCAUUCUGAGCAACUGAGGAUCAUCACAUGAAUUCUCCAGAAAGGAGCCAAGUUUCAAUGUGUUUUCCUGUAUCAUGGAGAGAUGAGAAAAACUAGUUGCUAAUUUCAGAGUCAUUACCCAUACAAAUCCAUUCACACACUUACCGCUUUGGACAAGUGACAGACCAGCAAUUGCCAAACAAUUGUAUUCACACUGCAUUUUUGGCUGUGCACCUACACUGGCCAACAGGCAGAAGUUACUCCACAUCAAGCAACCUGUAAUUUACAUUCCCCUGAUUGGUUCCAGAUCUGUCUGUUUUUGAUGUUAGCAUACAAACAUUUUAUACGAGGCAAGAUGUGUCUAUUUGGGGUCCGAUGCCUUUCUGGAACGUCAUCAGGAUAAGGAUGGGGAAUGUGUUGGGCUGAAGAGCAG